AUUGGAACGACACAUUUGCAAAAUUAGGAUUAAUUUAAUUCGACAACUUAAUUUUCUUAGUAUUUUUUUUUGUCACAAUAUUAGCCUUUACUAUAAAAAGUUGUGCAGAGCUCAAUUAUACAUACUGAACUUGCUGCAGUUAUAACUUAUAUCUAGUUUCCUAUCUAUUAUUUAAUUUUAAAUUAACUUAGUGAUGAAAAAUCCAGCCAUACCGUUAGGUUCUUUCUACAACGUGCAGUUUAUUGUACCUCUUGACAGCGUUUAAUGAAUUGCAUUUCAACAGCUAAGAAGGG